rnacentral:rRNA from 1 species
UACAGAGGGUGCAAGCGUUGCUCGGAAUUAUUGGGCGUAAAGGGUAGGUAGGUGGUCUCAUUUGUCUGGGGUGAAAGCCUUGAGCUUAACUCAAGAAGUGCCCCAGAAACGGUGAGACUGGAGUCCUGGAGAGGGUCGUGGAAUUCCCGGUGUAGCGGUGAAAUGCGUAGAGAUCGGGAGGAACACCAGAGGCGAAGGCGGCGACCUGGACAGGCACUGACACUCAACUACGAAAGCGUGGGGAGCAAACAGG